AUGAACCUUUGAGGGUUGAGGCUUGGCGUUUAUUAUUCGCAUGUGCUUUGCCCUCUCAUCCUUUAUACACCUGUGCACUUUUGAAGGGAAGACAUUAGUAGACAAUUCACUUGUCGAAGGUAUCUCCCUUUACACUACAUACUCUAAUGAUUACUUUGAAUGUUUAUAUUUAAAACGGCUUAACAGCAUUUAAUUA
rnacentral:misc_RNA from 1 species